CUACCCUUGACAUGUCAGGAAUCCCGGAGAGAUUUGGGAGUGCUCGAAAGAGAGCCUGGACACAGGUGCUGCAUGGCUGUCGUCAGCUCGUGUCGUGAGAUGUUGGGUUAAGUCCCGCAACGAGCGCAACCCUUGUCAUUAAUUGCCAUCAUUUAGUUGGGCACUUUAAUGAGACUGCCGGUGACAAACCGGAGGAAGGUGGGGAUGACGUCAAGUCCUCAUGGCCCUUAUGGGUAGGGCUUCACACGUCAUACAAUGGUCGGUUCAGAGGGUUGCCAACCCGCGAGGGGGAGCUAAUCUCAGAAAGCCGAUCGUAGUCCGGAUUGCAGUCUGCAACUCGACUGCAUGAAGUCGGAAUCGCUAGUAAUCGCGGAUCAGCAUGUCGCGGUGAAUACGUUCCC
rnacentral:rRNA from 1 species